GGAGCCUGAAGGGAAAGCAUGGCAGUGAGGGAAAAGCAGCUCUGGUCAGGACUUCUGCAUUUCUCCACGUAGCAAGAACAGCCUUCUUUAACUGCAAUGUUAUUAAUUCAGGAACCGAAACAUCUUUUGCUUGUUGCAUCUCCACUGAAGUCAACAUUUACAUGCAAGAGUUGGGAGCAGUGGCUGGCGCGCUGUCUGUUGCCAGUUCUUUUUCCGUGCCUCUACUGAUAGGUGGGUGAGACAGGACGGUUGUUUCACAUGGGGAAAGAACUACAGGCAAUAUUACCAAAUCGGGAUUGUGACACUGGAAGAUGCCCAUGAGUCAGCACUGGGACCUGUAUAGUUGAAGUGCCGCCUGCAGAAUCAAAGGGCAAAGACUCAAUUAACUCCAGGGAUAGAGAAGCCUUAUUCAAUAUCUCACAUCUUGUUCUAUAAUCUGCAGAUACAUAACAUGAAUUUCCAGGGGAUGUUUGCUUGAGGGUUGAGCAGAAGGAAAGAUCCCAACAUCCUAGCCUGUUAUUUUGUUUCACCAUAGACUCAUUAGCAGUUAGGAAAAAUGUUUUAUAAGCGAUCACAUUAUUUGUUUGUUCAAACCUGUAUUGUAAUGUGAAUUAGAUGCCAGUGAAAAUACAGAAUAAUCUUUCCUGUUUAAAGAACCAAAGCUGCACAGUGUAGACCUCAAUUUCCCUGAAGUCUGUGGUAUUUAUUUAAAUA